rnacentral:rRNA from 1 species
AGAGUUUGAUCCUGGCUCAGAACGAACGCUGGCGGCAGGCCUAACACAUGCAAGUCGAACGCCCCGCAAGGGGAGUGGCAGACGGGUGAGUAACACGUGGGAACCUUCCCUAUAGUACGGAAUAGCCCAGGGAAACUUKGARUAAUACCGUAUACGCCCGAAAGGGGAAAGAAUUUCGCUAUAGGAUGGGCCCGCGUAGGAUUAGCUAGUUGGUGAGGUAACGGCUCACCAAGGCGACGAUCCUUAGCUGGUUUGAGAGAACGACCAGCCACACUGGGACUGAGACACGGCCCAGACUCCUACGGGAGGCAGCAGUGGGGAAUAUUGGACAAUGGGCGCAAGCCUGAUCCAGCCAUGCCGCGUGAGUGAUGAAGGCCUUAGGGUUGUAAAGCUCUUUUGCCGGGGACGAUAAUGACGGUACCCGGAGAAUAAGUCCCGGCUAACUUCGUGCCAGCCGCCGCGGUAAUUCA